UACGUAGGGCGCAAGCGUUGUCCGGAAUUAUUGGGCGUAAAGAGCUCGUAGGCGGCCUGUCGCGUCUGCUGUGAAAUCCCGGGGCUUAACCCCGGGCGUGCAGUGGAUACGGGCUGGCUGGAGGCAGGCAGGGGAGAACGGAAUUCCCGGUGUAGCGGUGAAAUGCGCAGAUAUCGGGAGGAACACCGGUGGCGAAGGCGGCAUCCUGGACCAAUACUGACGCUGAGGAGCGAAAGCCAGGGGAGCAAACGGG
rnacentral:rRNA from 1 species